rnacentral:lncRNA from 1 species
AUGCAAGCGAGAGCGUGCGCUUAUCUUUAAAAAGAGAGUAAGGUAUCGAGAGCAUAAAAUUUGCCCUUGACGUUUGACCGAAAUUCCACUCAAUGCAGCGAAAGAUCAUACGAUUGUCCCGUUAAAGCUCUUAAACGUCAUCAGAUCUUCGAGCUUUCUGUUCGGUACAGCCUAGCUUCACUGGGAUAAGUUUUUCUAGAGUUAUUAGCAAAGAGUCGAUCGACAAAACCAGACGUGAUUGUGGCAAGUCUUAUAUACGUAGAUAUAACCUACACAAAACUUACAUAAUCCCUCGUGGCGAAGUUUUCUUGCAAGCCAUAAAUUCAGAGGAAUCUGUGUUGAUCUGUGCUAGUGCCUAGUGAAAACAAUAAUCAACCAAGGUAUGUCUGCCGUGAGCUAGGAAAGUGACCAGUAUAAUUUAUGCGAAUGAAGUUUAUAGGACAGAGGUCAGGAGCCCUAUCUUUCUUAGCAGCCUAAGUGCGCAUAAGUGCAUAUACGGGGUGCUCCACGAGAGGCGUAUCACCGAAGUGAUCCCCCAAUCUACAAGGGGUAGAAUUCGAUUCCCCCCUCUUCUGCUCCGAAACGCCGAGCCCCGAAAACCUCUGACUUGGGU